UACAGGGGGUGCAAACGUUGCUCGGAAUCAUUGGGCGUAAAGCGCACGUAGGCGGCUUUCUAAGUCAGGGGUGAAAUCCUGGAGCUCAACUCCAGAACUGCCUUUGAUACUGGAGAGCUUGAGUCCGGGAGAGGUGAGUGGAACUCCGAGUGUAGAGGUGAAAUUCGUAGAUAUUCGGAAGAACACCAGUGGCGAAGGCGGCUCACUGGCCCGGUACUGACGCUGAUGUGCGAAAGCGUGGGGAGCAAACAGG
rnacentral:rRNA from 1 species